GGAAUAUUGCACAAUGGGCGAAAGCCUGAUGCAGCGACGCCGCGUGAGUGAAGAAGUAGCUCGGUAUGUAAAGCUGUAUCAGCAGGGAAGAAAAUGACGGUACCUGACUAAGAAGCCCCGGCUAACUACGUGCAAGCAGCCGCGGUAAUACGUAGGGGGCAAGCGUUAUCCGGAUUUACUGGGUGUAAAGGGAGCGUAGACGGCGAAGCAAGUCUGAAGUGAAAACCCGGGGCUCAACCCUGGGACUGCUUUGGAAACUGUUUUGCUAGAGUGUCGAAGAGGUAAGUGGAAUUCCUAGUGUAGCGGUGAAAUGCGUAGAUAUUAGGAGGAACACCAGUGGCGAAGGCGGCUUACUGGACGAUAACUGACGUUGAGGCUCGAAAGCGUGGGGAGCAAACA
rnacentral:rRNA from 1 species